CGAGCUGGGUUCAGAGCGUCGUAAGACAGCUGAUCGCCUUAACAUUUGGCGAUGACAAUGAACUGUCUUCCUCCAUCGACGUUUUGAUAUUCGAGAAUUUAGAAGUCUUUUUGUCAAAAAAUAAGCAGAGCUUGAAAAAGCUUCGCUUUUAUUAAUAUGGAGAUAUUAAAUCUAGCUAUAUGCUGGAAACUCUUGUAAAUAGUAAUCUACUAGUAUAUAAUUUAUCUACUAGUGAAAAUGGUUAUUCAUCCUCGGAUAAUAGGAGCAAGACAAUCAGCAGGAAAGACUAGUUUCAAAUGAAUCUUUUAAGUGAUGAUUAUUUAGUUGGUUUUACUGAGGGAGAAGGGAUGUUCUAUAUAGGAAUUGUUCCCUCUAAAGAAACUAAAACCCAUUGGCAGGUGAUUUACUUUUUUAAAGUGUCACAAAAUCCAAUAGGUAUAGAGGUUUUAAACCAAUUUAAAGAUCGUCUAGGUUGUGGUUAUAUUAAACAGAAUAGCCAGACUGACAAAACGGAUAAAUCCUUAGCUUAUGUAGUAAGAGAUUUUCCUAGCUUAAGAGAUAAGGUUAUUCCAUUUUUUGAAGGUAAGUUACUUAUUAAAAAGGACGCCUUUAGAAAAUUUAAACAGGUUUUAAAACUUGUUGAAGAAAAACAGCAAUUUAGUGUUCCAGGAAUAACUAAGAUUUUAGAAAUUGCUUAUUCAAUGAAUACUCAAAAGAGAAAAGUUGAGAAGCAAGUAAUUCUAGAAUCAUACAUGAAAUUAGAAUCCUCACAGGCCAUACGCUAGACACCACUUCGCUCAAUAGAGCUACGCGGUGAAGAUAUGGUCGGACCUUCGAUGUGAAUCGGAGAGCUUGCAGGAACAAGAAACUAGCAAGCAAAUUUAACAACAAUGUCGGACUCUAUCCAGUAUGGGCGUUUUGAUUUUUGAGGGGAGUUGUCUCUAGUACGAGAGGACCGAGACGAGGGAACCCCUAGUGUGCCUGUUGUCAUAAUAUGGCAGCGCAGGGUAGCUACGUUCCUAUUUGAUAAGUGCUGAAAGCAUCUAAGCACGAAGCAGACCCCAAGAUGAGAAAUCUUUGAGAAUCCUGGAAGACUACCAGGUUGAUAGGCUGGCGGUGUAAGCACUGUAAGGUGUUUAGCCUACCAGUACUAAUAUUCGUAGUUGAGAUUUU
rnacentral:ncRNA from 1 species